GGCCGUGUGGCGAAAUGGCAUCGCGUCUGACUACGAUAAAUUGUUAAUCAGGAGAUUGCAGGUUCGACCCCUGUCUCGGUCA
rnacentral:tRNA from 1 species